UACGAAGGGGGCUAGCGUUGUUCGGAUUUACUGGGCGUAAAGCGCACGUAGGCGGAUCGUUAAGUCGGGGGUGAAAUCCUGGAGCUCAACUCCAGAGCUGCCUUCGAUACUGGCGAUCUAGAGUCCGGAAGAGGUGAGUGGAACUCCUAGUGUAGAGGUGGAAUUCGUAGAUAUUAGGAAGAACACCAGUGGCGAAGGCGGCUCACUGGUCCGGUACUGACGCUGAGGUGCGAAAGCGUGGGGAGCAAACAGG
rnacentral:rRNA from 1 species